ACGAACGCUGGCGGCGUGCUUAACACAUGCAAGUCGAACGGAAAGGCCCUGCUUUUGUGGGGUGCUCGAGUGGCGAACGGGUGAGUAACACGUGAGUAACCUGCCCUUGACUUUGGGAUAACUUCAGGAAACUGGGGCUAAUACCGGAUAGGAGCUCCUGCUGCAUGGUGGGGGUUGGAAAGUUUCGGCGGUUGGGGAUGGACUCGCGGCUUAUCAGCUUGUUGGUGGGGUAGUGGCUUACCAAGGCUUUGACGGGUAGCCG
rnacentral:rRNA from 1 species